rnacentral:rRNA from 1 species
UACGUAGGGUGCGAGCGUUGUCCGGAAUUAUUGGGCGUAAAGAGCUUGUAGGCGGUCUGUCGCGCCUGCUGUGAAAAUCCGGGGCUCAACCCCGGACUUGCAGUGGGUACGGGCAGACUAGAGUGUGGUAGGGGAGACUGGAAUUCCUGGUGUAGCGGUGGAAUGCGCAGAGAUGCGGAGGAACACCAGUGGCGAAAGCGACUUUCUGGUCCUUAACUGACGCUGAGGCGCGAAAGCAUGGGGAGCGAACGGG